rnacentral:rRNA from 1 species
CAGCAGUGGGGGAAUAUUGCACAAUGGGCGCAAGCCUGAUGCAGCCAUGCCGCGUGUGUGAAGAAGGACCUUCGGGUUGUAAAGCACUUUCAGUCGUGAGGAAGGUAGUGUAGUUAAUAGCUGCAUUAUUUGACGUUAGCGACAGAAGAAGCACCGGCUAACUCCGUGCCAGCAGCCGCGGUAAUACGGAGGGUGCGAGCGUUAAUCGGAAUUACUGGGCGUAAAGCGCAUGCAGGUGGUUUGUUAAGUCAGAUGUGAAAGCCCGGGGCUCAACCUCGGAAUUGCAUUUGAAACUGGCAGACUAGAGUACUGUAGAGGGGGGUAGGAAUUUCAGGUGUAGCGGUGAAAUGCGUAGAGAUCUGAAGGAAUACCGGUGGCGAAGGCGGCCCCCUGGACAGAUACUGACACUCAGAUGCGAAAGCGUGGGGAGCAAACAGGAUUAGAUACCCUGGUAG